UACGUAGGGGGCGAGCGUUGUCCGGAGUUACUGGGCGUAAAGGGCAUGCAGGCGGUCAGACGCGUUUUGUGUGACAGCGGAGGGCUUCACUCUCCGAGCAUACGAAAGACGGUGUGACUUAAGGGCUCGAGAGGGACACGGAAUUCCGGGUGGAGUGGUGAAAUGCGUAGAGAUCCGGAGGAACACCGAAGGCGAAGGCAGUGUCCUGGCGAGUAUCCUGACGCUGAGGUGCGAAAGCCAGGGGAGCGAACGGG
rnacentral:rRNA from 1 species